rnacentral:rRNA from 1 species
UACGUAGGUGACCAGCGUUGUCCGGAUUUACUGGGCGUAAAGAGCGCGCAGGCGGUCGUUCAAGUCGAGUGUGAAAGCCCCCGGCUCAACUGGGGAGGGUCAUUCGAUACUGAUCGACUGGAAGGCAGGAGAGGGAAGCGGAAUUCCCGGUGUAGUGGUGAAAUUCGUAGAUAUUCGGAGGAACACCAGUGGCGAAGGCGGCUCACUGGCUCGAUACUGACGCUGAGGUGCGAAAGCGUGGGGAGCAAACAGG